UGCUUCAGGAACUGUAUUGGCAGUCAGGACCCCUACUGCGGCUGGGCCCCGGAUGGUUCCUGCAUCUUCCUCAGCCCCGGCACCAGAGCCACCUUUGAGCAGGACGUGUCCGGGGCCAGCACCUCAGGCUUAGGGGACUGCACAGGACUGCUGCGGGCCAGCCUCUCGGAGGAGCGCGCCGGCUUGGUGUCGGUGAACCUGCUGGUGACGUCGUCGGUGGCGGCCUUCGUGGUGGGCGCCGUGGUGUCCGGCUUCAGCGUGGGCUGGUACGUGGGGCUCCGGGAGCGGCGCGAGCUGGCCCGCCGCAAGGACAAGGAGGCCAUCCUGGCGCACGGGGGCGGCGAGGCCGUGCUGAGCGUGAGCCGCCUGGGCGAGCGCCGGGCGGGCGGCCC